rnacentral:ncRNA from 2 species
ACAAAAAAUUUAUUUCCACUUCGUAUAAUCCCAAUGAUAUGGUUUGGGAGUUUCUACCAAGAGCCCUAAACUCUUGAUUAUGAAGUCUGUCUCUUUGUUU